AAAAACCAUUUCAAGCUCCCCCUAGCCUGAAUCAUCCUUUCCUUGUCUUCUUGGUGGGGUUGCUUAUGGUGUUUAUAGGCAGUUCAGGCCCUUUGUUUCAUGGAAAAAAAGAUCUGCUACCGAUAGGAAGCAUAUAUACAAUAACAAAUCAAAGCUUCAAGACAAAGAUAAUCCAAGUAUUGCAAAUGCAUUUUUCCUAGCCAAUGCAAAGAUAACAUUGGUGAAAAGGAGCAUUUCCUUCUCCCUCUCCUUAAUUAUUCACUUCCAUCCAAAGAAAGAUUCAUAACAUAAAUCAACCCACAAAAUCAUGAAUCAUCUGACCUCCAAAUUGCCGCCUAAGUUGAUCCUCAUGUUGCUGCAAUUGCUGCUGCUGCUGCUGCUGAGCAUUUUCUACACCGUGCCUUAACCCAAGUGUAAGUGAAACGGCUCCUAGGCCUCCAAUGUCAAUUCCAGCUCUCUGGUAUGGCAGAAAAUUCAUCACUGAUCCAUCCAUGCUAGUUGGAACAUGAACCUCCAUUCUUGUUCGUUUCUCCUGACUCCACUGCCCUUCAUCCAGUUUUUCUCCGCUGCCCGCCGAGGAGCCUGUACCCUCCAAUUGCUUAUUAAGUAUGGAGCUUGGACCUGUAUUAUUUGGGGGUUGCUCGUGACUUGGCUGGCUAGUACCCUCAGGACAUUUUCCUUCAAGGUUAUUCACACAAGUUCGAUUUUCUGCCCAACCUUUGGUUUCAAGCAUGUGCAUAUCUUCAACCAUAGGUUUCCAAACCCGUACCCGGGCAUUUAUAAACCAGUUUGAGACCUGGUUUCGAGAUAGCCCAGUUUGAGUGGCCAACAUGUGCUUAUCCGUGUCCGUGGGGUACGGAUGAAGAAAAUG
rnacentral:misc_RNA from 1 species